rnacentral:lncRNA from 1 species
CUAAAGCAAGAACAGAAGAGGAAACAUAAAAACAAGUAGCAAAUCGUGAAAAAAGGUUCCAAAGAAGUUUAUUCUGAACCCAGAGACAGGAAAGGGUUGGACUCACCCAGAGCAACUUCCAGACCUGCAAGCCACAUUCAUGACCAUCUGCAAGCAUUGUUAGCUAUAUGUUUGCUUAGAAGUUCAAGGGACGAAUUCUUCAAACCAAGCCAGGCACCUUCCGGAAUUCUCUCCCACCAGGAGAUUGUCUCAAGACAGCAGUUAAUCCAUAAUCUGCCCAUAAUGGCGCUGGCCAGACCAUUGGCUGACCCAUUACUAGAGAUAAGUUGUGGAGCAAGUCAUGUAGACCCCACACCUCCAUGCCCUUCUACAUCGCCCACAUACCAAAAUUUCGCUUCUUAAAACCCUGCUUUCUGCCUAGAAAGCUAAAGUGGCUUAGAUAUGAAUCUGGCUCUUUCCCAUUGCUAAGCUCUGGAAUAAAGUCACUUUCUUUAUAC